GUAGGAUCCGAGCGUUAUCCGAAUUUACUGGGCGUAAAGCGCGUGUAGGCGGCCGGGUAAGUUGGACGUGAAAGCUCCUGGCUCAACUAGGAGAGGUCGUUCAAAACUGCCUAGCUAGAGGGCGACAGAGGGAGGUGGAAUUCCCGGUGUAGUGGUGAAAUGCGUAGAUAUCGGGAGGAACACCAGUGGCGAAGGCGGCCUCCUGGGUCGCCCCUGACGCUCAGACGCGAAAGCUAGGGGAGCGAACGGGAUUAGAUACCCCGGGUAGUCCUAGCUGUAAACGAUGUGGACUUGGCGUUGGUGGGGUCAAAUCCCAUCAGUGCCGGAGCUAACGCGAUAAGUCCACCGCCUGGGGACUACGACCGCAAGUUA
rnacentral:rRNA from 1 species